rnacentral:rRNA from 1 species
CACGUAGGGUGCGAGCGUUUGUCCGGAAUUAUUGGGCGUAAAGAGCUCGUAGGCGGUGUGUCACGUCGGCCGUGAAAACCUACAGCUUAACUGUGGGCGUGCGGUCGAUACGGGCAUCACUGGAGUUCGGCAGGGGAGACUGGAAUUCAUGGUGUAGCAGUGAAAUGCGUAGAGAUCAUGAGGAAGACCAGUGGCGAAGGCGGGUCUCUGGACAGUUCCUGACACUGAGACACGAAGGCCAGGGGAGCAAACGGGG